GGGCUCACACAAGCGGUGGAGCAUGUGGCUUAAUUCGAAGCAACGCGAAGAACCUUAUCCUGGGUUUGACAUGUACGGAUUAACUCCCUGAAAGGGGAGCCACGCCUUCGGGUGGAACGUACACAGGUGUUGCAUGGCUGUCGUCAGCUCGUGCUGUGAAGUGUCGGGUUAAGUCCCUUAACGAGCGCAACCCCUGUCGCUAGUUGCCAGCACAUAAUGGUGGGGACUCUAGCGAGACUGCCGGUGUUAAACCGGAGGAAGGUGGGGACGACGUCAAGUCCGCAUGGCCUUUAUGCCCAGGGCUGCACACGUGCUACAAUGGUAGGUACAGAACGAUGCAAGACCGCGAGGUGGAGCAAA
rnacentral:rRNA from 1 species